GUUUCUGCGGCCCUAAAUCGCUCAACUGGUUCAUCAGGAACACGUGACCAUGAUUCACCAGAUGAUAAAUCCAAAUGGGAAUGCAUGAGGAAAGGGGUUUGCUGCAUUUGCUGCGAAAGCAAUAUUGAUUCUCUCUUGUACAGAUGUGGGCACAUGUGCACAUGUUCUAACUGUGCUAAUGAUUUGCAUCGAAGUGGAAGGAAGUGUCCAAUGUGUCAAGCACCAGUUGUUGAAGAAAAAAUAGAAAAUGAGAGAAGAUUCUAGUGAUUUUGUUUGGAGGGAAAUCUAGUGGAACCCUAUGGAAAAUGCACUGUGGCAUUUAGUCUUGCAUGGUCAUCUCCAAAAGUAAAGUUCUCAAAAGGCAGCACUUUUCAUAGGAGAUACACAAAAUUUUAUGGGACUUCUGAGAGAGCUGCAAAGGACUUGGCCCAUGAUGCAUUAACUCAAUACAAACGAUGGGAAGAAGACAUUGAGAAAUGGCAAAAUCCUAUUCUUCAGGAUGAGUCACUACCAGAAUGGUACAAGUUCACAUUGUUUAAUGAACUCUACUUUCUUGUUGCUGGAGGAACAAUUUGGAUUGAUCUUCAAAUAUGAGGAAUAAAAGCCGGGAUCAGGUAAAAGAAUUGGAAAAUACAGAAGUCAAAGUGACUGAAGCCAAAGUGAGUCGUAGACAAGGUGCAGAUGCUGGGCGUACAACAGAGAGCACCUAUGAUGUUUGAGUAUACAACAGAUAGUGCCAGUGACGUUGAUUGCAUGGUAGAUGGCGUGGAUGAAAAACAUCGUGGUGAUCUCUCCCAAGAAAGUGAUGCUAGUGUUACUCUGGCAAUGAUGUUGGAAGGUUUCUGUACUUGGAAGGUGUUGAAUAUAUCAUGUGGUGCACAUAUGAUGUGCACUUCUAUGCUUCGUUUGCCCUUCUUGAGCUCUUUCCAAGGAUUGAAUUAAAUAUACAGCGUGACUUCGCUAAAGCUGUAUUAUGUGAAGAUGGAAGAAAAGUGAAGUUUCUGGCAGAGGGCAACUGCGGAAUUCAUAAGGUUAGAGGGGCUGUGCCUCAUGAUCUUGGGUCACACGAUCCAUGGCGUGAAAUGAAUGCUUAUAACAUUCAUGAUACUAGCAAGUGGAAGGACCUGAACCCCAAAUUUGCACUUCAGGUUUAUCGAGAUUUUGCUACAACAGGGGACAUGUCCUUUGGAGUUGAUGUGUGGCCUGCUGUACAAUUCUGUGGCUUCAUUCUUGCUGUUUAAAUUGAUAAUUAGUUGAAUUCAUCAAAUCAUACAUUUGAUUAGUCUCUCAAAUUGGGGUGAUGCAACUUCUUCUCUUUUGUCUAAAGAAAUGAAAUGAACUAAUUCACCUGGUUUGGUAUAAUGCAGGUACUGGUUUCAGACACCAAAGGCAUGGACAAUGGUUGGACUUAGUGUCUUGGAAGAAGAAAUAAGAACAUUUUACUUGUAAUUUUAUAGCAUGUUAGUUUUGACUUUUGAACAAUGUAGGUCACCUUUGCAUAAUUGCAUGUAACGUGAACAUUCUUAUUUAUUUUUCCAAGAUAUAUUCUGACUUUACCACAAUUAACUUUAUAAAAUAUCAAUAACA